rnacentral:rRNA from 1 species
GGUUAAGCGACUAAGCGUACACGGUGGAUGCCCUGGCAGUCAGAGGCGAUGAAGGACGUGCUAAUCUGCGAUAAGCGUCGGUAAGGUGAUAUGAACCGUUAUAACCGGCGAUUUCCGAAUGGGGAAACCCAGUGUGUUUCGACACACUAUCAUUAACUGAAUCCAUAGGUUAAUGAGGCGAACCGGGGGAACUGAAACAUCUAAGUACCCCGAGGAAAAGAAAUCAACCGAGAUUCCCCCAGUAGCGGCGAGCGAACGGGGAGGAGCCCAGAGCCUGAAUCAGUGUGUGUGUUAGUGGAAGCGUCUGGAAAGGCGCGCGAUACAGGGUGACAGCCCCGUACACAAAAAUGCACAUAUUGUGAGCUCGAUGAGUAGGGCGGGACACGUGGUAUCCUGUCUGAAUAUGGGGGGACCAUCCUCCAAGGCUAAAUACUCCUGACUGACCGAUAGUGAACCAGUACCGUGAGGGAAAGGCGAAAAGAACCCCGGCGAGGGGAGUGAAAAAGAACCUGAAACCGUGUACGUACAAGCAGUGGGAGCACGCUUAGGCGUGUGACUGCGUACCUUUUGUAUAAUGGGUCAGCGACUUAUAUUCUGUAGCAAGGUUAACCGAAUAGGGGAGCCGAAGGGAAACCGAGUCUUAACUGGGCGUUAAGUUGCAGGGUAUAGACCCGAAACCCGGUGAUCUAGCCAUGGGCAGGUUGAAGGUUGGGUAACACUAACUGGAGGACCGAACCGACUAAUGUUGAAAAAUUAGCGGAUGACUUGUGGCUGGGGGUGAAAGGCCAAUCAAACCGGGAGAUAGCUGGUUCUCCCCGAAAGCUAUUUAGGUAGCGCCUCGUGAAUUCAUCUCCGGGGGUAGAGCACUGUUUCGGCAAGGGGGUCAUCCCGACUUACCAACCCGAUGCAAACUGCGAAUACCGGAGAAUGUUAUCACGGGAGACACACGGCGGGUGCUAACGUCCGUCGUGAAGAGGGAAACAACCCAGACCGCCAGCUAAGGUCCCAAAGUCAUGGUUAAGUGGGAAACGAUGUGGGAAGGCCCAGACAGCCAGGAUGUUGGCUUAGAAGCAGCCAUCAUUUAAAGAAAGCGUAAUAGCUCACUGGUCGAGUCGGCCUGCGCGGAAGAUGUAACGGGGCUAAACCAUGCACCGAAGCUGCGGCAGCGACACUAUGUGUUGUUGGGUAGGGGAGCGUUCUGUAAGCCUGCGAAGGUGUGCUGUGAGGCAUGCUGGAGGUAUCAGAAGUGCGAAUGCUGACAUAAGUAACGAUAAAGCGGGUGAAAAGCCCGCUCGCCGGAAGACCAAGGGUUCCUGUCCAACGUUAAUCGGGGCAGGGUGAGUCGACCCCUAAGGCGAGGCCGAAAGGCGUAGUCGAUGGGAAACAGGUUAAUAUUCCUGUACUUGGUGUUACUGCGAAGGGGGGACGGAGAAGGCUAUGUUGGCCGGGCGACGGUUGUCCCGGUUUAAGCGUGUAGGCUGGUUUUCCAGGCAAAUCCGGAAAAUCAAGGCUGAGGCGUGAUGACGAGGCACUACGGUGCUGAAGCAACAAAUGCCCUGCUUCCAGGAAAAGCCUCUAAGCAUCAGGUAACAUCAAAUCGUACCCCAAACCGACACAGGUGGUCAGGUAGAGAAUACCAAGGCGCUUGAGAGAACUCGGGUGAAGGAACUAGGCAAAAUGGUGCCGUAACUUCGGGAGAAGGCACGCUGAUACGUAGGUGAAGUCCCUCGCGGAUGGAGCUGAAAUCAGUCGAAGAUACCAGCUGGCUGCAACUGUUUAUUAAAAACACAGCACUGUGCAAACACGAAAGUGGACGUAUACGGUGUGACGCCUGCCCGGUGCCGGAAGGUUAAUUGAUGGGGUCAGCGCAAGCGAAGCUCUUGAUCGAAGCCCCGGUAAACGGCGGCCGUAACUAUAACGGUCCUAAGGUAGCGAAAUUCCUUGUCGGGUAAGUUCCGACCUGCACGAAUGGCGUAAUGAUGGCCAGGCUGUCUCCACCCGAGACUCAGUGAAAUUGAACUCGCUGUGAAGAUGCAGUGUACCCGCGGCAAGACGGAAAGACCCCGUGAACCUUUACUAUAGCUUGACACUGAACAUUGAGCCUUGAUGUGUAGGAUAGGUGGGAGGCUUGGAAGUGUGGACGCCAGUCUGCAUGGAGCCGACCUUGAAAUACCACCCUUUAAUGUUUGAUGUUCUAACGUUGACCCGUAAUCCGGGUUGCGGACAGUGUCUGGUGGGUAGUUUGACUGGGGCGGUCUCCUCCUAAAGAGUAACGGAGGAGCACGAAGGUUGGCUAAUCCUGGUCGGACAUCAGGAGGUUAGUGCAAUGGCAUAAGCCAGCUUGACUGCGAGCGUGACGGCGCGAGCAGGUGCGAAAGCAGGUCAUAGUGAUCCGGUGGUUCUGAAUGGAAGGGCCAUCGCUCAACGGAUAAAAGGUACUCCGGGGAUAACAGGCUGAUACCGCCCAAGAGUUCAUAUCGACGGCGGUGUUUGGCACCUCGAUGUCGGCUCAUCACAUCCUGGGGCUGAAGUAGGUCCCAAGGGUAUGGCUGUUCGCCAUUUAAAGUGGUACGCGAGCUGGGUUUAGAACGUCGUGAGACAGUUCGGUCCCUAUCUGCCGUGGGCGCUGGAGAACUGAGGGGGGCUGCUCCUAGUACGAGAGGACCGGAGUGGACGCAUCACUGGUGUUCGGGUUGUCAUGCCAAUGGCACUGCCCGGUAGCUAAAUGCGGAAGAGAUAAGUGCUGAAAGCAUCUAAGCACGAAACUUGCCCCGAGAUGAGUUCUCCCUGACCCUUUAAGGGUCCUGAAGGAACGUUGAAGACGACGACGUUGAUAGGCCGGGUGUGUAAGCGCAGCGAUGCGUUGAGCUAACCGGUACUAAUGAACCGUGAGGCUUAACCUU